UACGUAGGGUGCAAGCGUUGUCCGGAAUUAUUGGGCGUAAAGAGCUCGUAGGCGGUUUGUUGCGUCGGCUGUGAAAUCCCGAGGCUCAACCUCGGGUCUGCAGUCGAUACGAGCAAACUAGAGUGUUGCAGGGGAGACUGGAAUUCCUGGUGUAGCGGUGAAAUGCGCAGAUAUCAGGAGGAACACCGGUGGCGAAGGCGGGUCUCUGGGCCGAUAUUGACGCUGAGGAGCGAAAGCGUGGGGAGCAAACAGG
rnacentral:rRNA from 1 species